AUAUAAUCAACCUUCUCGGUUUCUUCUGGACACCGAAGGAGGCUUGGACUUUGGAGGCCUUUGCUGGCGUCUCUCUCUUUUGAGAGCCAGCUCCCCUUAAAUGAAUUAGCGGGGUCCUCUUUGCUGGUCCUCGACAUGUGAUAAGAUGUUUCCAUGUCUUGGUCUCUGGCUCUGUUGCUUUUGGGACCCGCUUCUAACCGUCUCAACGAGACAACGUUUGGGCGUGUCUCCCUUCUCGGGAGACCCUCUCAACCUCACGAAC
rnacentral:misc_RNA from 1 species